UCUACACAAACAUUUGAAUAUUCGUUCAUUCAUUUGGAUUGAAUUUCAAAUGGAAUUUUCACGUACGUGUUCGGAUGUGAACAUGACGAGUGGGCCGGGCAAGGAUUGCAAUCCUUCGCUCUUGACACGUGGAUAUUUGCGGAGCCAGGAUCGAAUCUCCACCCUUGUAGCCGAUAAUCUCCCUCAUUUUCUUGAGUGUCAUGUGCUCCAUGAGGAUAAAGACGGGCGAAAUCUCGUAGGUGAACAUGUUGGUGUUGGCCGUGGCCGUCAGCCACUCACCGGCCAUGGAAAUGACGUCAACUCCAUUGGACAGUUGAUUGAAGAAACUACACCCAUCAAGAGACACACAAUCCCCCCUUCUGGCAAAGAAAAUCUAUUCUUUGCCCUUCAGAGGAGAUAACACCCAAAUGUUUAUAGAUGCGGAUGAGACCUGUCAUCAACGCGGUCCCAGGAGAACCAACCACACCCCCACUAUUUACCAUUUCGGAUCGCAGACUGUACGGGCUGCUCAAGCUGCUGACAUCUCUCUCUCUCCACCCCUCAGCUUUCAAUAACGUGUUGUACGUCGUCGUCGGCUGUCGCUCACUUCUUUCUUCCAACACUUGGAAUAAAAAAGCAAGGAGUGAACGGGUCGUGGCAAUCCGCGUGAGACGCUACGCAGCUGCGGGCGUGAGACGGACCGUCUUGAAUGCGGACGUCAAGCGGAAAGACAAAGGAUCAAAAUCUAUUCCACCCACCCACCCAAAAAAGACACACGGAUGGAAAUCUAUCAAUCAACCGAUUUUGAUCCUUAUAGAUGUGAUGUACUGGUUGGUUCCCGAUUACCAGCGACUGUGUUCUUGAUCGAUCCGCAAAAAUUCUCUCGCUCCUUUUUUAUUUCCGUCGAGCUCCUAGAUGAGAAAACAAGGAGCCAAUCGAAUGGAUAGCAGCUGCUUCCAUCUCUCCCCACCCCACCCCAUAUGGAAAAGCGAAGGAGGCCGAAACCACGAAACGCAACUUUUCCAUCAGACGCCCAUUCCCUUUGAAUAUUAUUACAUACGCCAUGGAAAAAGAGUGGAAAAUCUUAUUCGAGAGAGAGGAGCUGGAAGCAUAUUAAAAUGGCUGCACCGAGAGGCGGCAGAAGGAGCCUCAACUGGAAAUGUCAAACACUCGUGGCCCCCCACCCGAGUUAGUAGUAUUGUAGCAGUGAUUGGAGGAUCGGGUCCGGCGAUAAGAGUCUGAGGGAUAUCAUCCACUUCAUUUCCUCCUGCGCUGUCCAAUUGUUUGGUGGGCGCACACACACACAACUGACACGCCAUUUCCACCCACAAGGAUGAAGGGGGGGAUCCCUCCAUCACAUCCGCCUACACUCCUAUACCUCGGAUAGGUUUGACAUUUCGGGUUAAACAGCAGCUGCGGUUCGUCACAUAUAUCCGAAAUAGAAGGUUGUAUCAAUAUUAUUCCAUCUUGUUUAGAAACGCCUAAACUACUAUUUAAUCCACCCUAUUAAUUCAGCGUGGCAAGGAUCUUUUUUCUUUUGUGUUUGAGCUGCGGCUAAUUG
rnacentral:lncRNA from 1 species